rnacentral:rRNA from 1 species
CAGUCGCCGCGGUAAUACAGAGGGUGCAAGCGUUAAUCGGAAUUACUGGGCGUAAAGCGCGCGUAGGUGGUUUGUUAAGUUGGAUGUGAAAUCCCCGGGCUCAACCUGGGAACUGCAUCCAAAACUGGCAAGCUAGAGUAUGGUAGAGGGUGGUGGAAUUUCCUGUGUAGCGGUGAAAUGCGUAGAUAUAGGAAGGAACACCAGUGGCGAAGGCGACCACCUGGACUGAUACUGACACUGAGGUGCGAAAGCGUGGGGAGCAAACAGGAUUAGAUACCCCAUUAGUCCCUGUCUCUAAUAC